rfam:Danio rerio chromosome 4, GRCz11 reference primary assembly.
GCCCAGAUAGCUCAGUCGGUAGAGCAUCAGACUUUUAAUUUGAGGGUCCAGCGUUCAAGUCCCUGUUCGGGCG